rnacentral:rRNA from 1 species
GCUUACGGCCAUACCAGCCUGGGUACGCCCGAUCUCGUCUGAUCUCGGAAGCUAAGCAGGGUUAGGGCCUGGUUAGUACUUGGAUGGGAGACCGCCUGGGAAUACCAGGUGCUGUAAGCA